UCUUUCCAAUUCACACAAGCUAUAUAUACUAUAAUUACAUCAUUCGCCGCAUUACGUUUCCAGUUUAAUUAAAAGCGAAUAGUUGUAUCAAUACUAAAACGAUGAAAUCCGUUGCAUUCUUUUUCUUCUGUUUUCUCGUCUACAACUUGGGAAUGCAAGACUCGGAAGGUUUCCUUUAUUGCUUUCGUCGAGGAUGUCCACAAAUGGAUCAGAAUAUUUGUAACGAAUGCUGUGUCGGAAAUUUCUCGUAUUUAUGUGGCCGUUGUCUUAUUCGUAAUAGCCGUUUGUCGUUUUGCGUUUGUUCUGAAAGAGAAUCAUUUUGCAAUCGAUACGCAUAAAUUAUGAGUUUACUGCUUUAGUUUUUAGAAUAUUUCAAUAAAGUUAUUCGAAUUUUUCAAAUUAUGAAUUAAAAAUAAUAAAUAUUUAAAUUGAACAAA